rnacentral:rRNA from 1 species
GACGAACGCUGGCGGCGUGCUUAACACAUGCAAGUCGAACGAAGAGCGAUGGAAGCUUGCUUCUAUCAAUCUUAGUGGCGAACGGGUGAGUAACGCGUAAUCAACCUGCCCUUCAGAGGGGGACAACAGUUGGAAACGACUGCUAAUACCGCAUACGAUCUAACCUCGGCAUCGAGGAAAGAUGAAAGGUGGCCUCUAUUUAUAAGCUAUCACUGAAGGAGGGGAUUGCGUCUGAUUAGCUAGUUGGAGGGGUAACGGCCCACCAAGGCGAUGAUCAGUAGCCGGUCUGAGAGGAUGAACGGCCACAUUGGGACUGAGACACGGCCCAGACUCCUACGGGAGGCAGCAGUGGGGAAUCUUCCGCAAUGGACGAAAGUCUGACGGAGCAACGCCGCGUGAGUGAUGACGGCCUUCGGGUUGUAAAGCUCUGUUAAUCGGGACGAAAGGCCUUCUUGCGAACAGUUAGAA